GAUGCUCAUCCAAAAAAUUCAAUAUCAUGAAAAUGUUGAUUUAUUUCAGUAACACAAUUUAAAAAGUGAAACUUGUGUUAUGCCUACAUUAAUUUCACACAAACAGAUCCAUUUCAAGUGUUCAUCCAUUUAAUUUCGAUGAAUAUAUCUAAAAACUAAAUAAAAAACAAUUAAACUGUAAUAAAAUAAUUGAGUCAACAUGCUCAUCAAACACAAUUUUACAUCAGCAAUAAAACGACAUCUCUCAAUUCCCACUGCAUGUCCGUUCGAAUGUGAGCCAGCUUCUUUAGACAACAAAGCUGUAUUGAAUGUACAUGGGUCGACAAAGUGCAGAACUUGUUCUGAUGGUGAGUGACUUUCAGGUCUCCGGGCGUGCGGUGCUUUAUGAGCAAGGUAAAGUAUUUGGCUGUCAAACCGAAUUCAAAGCAACGAAGACAGCUGUGAUUUGGAUCUCUAAACCACUGGAAACUUGAUUUUUAUUUCAUUUAUUUUAAACAUGCAUAGGCUGUGUCAUUUGAUAGUCAUUUCACUGAUCAGCUGAAUGCAAUGUUUUCUGACAUUUGGCUGGAAAUGUGCACCAUACAGUUCGGAGAGAGGAGUGCAUAUACGGUGAUGAAAUGUAUUUUGAAAGCACACAGUAGUUUCAUCUAAUAUGUUGCGUUACUUCGUUGCUGAGAAGUGUUAUUUUGGCCACAUAAUCUGAGUGAAGUGACUUGAAGGCGGCGUAACUGCAAAUCAAUCGCUAAUUUGACCAGCCGCAAUAAUAAGAGCAACAUGAUCUGGAAAUGU